AGCCAGCAGCCGCGGUAAUACGUAGGUGGCGAGCGUUGUCCGGAAUUACUGGGCGUAAAGGGUGCGUAGGCGGAAUAUUAAGUCAGAUGUGAAACUCCAGGGCUCAACUCUGGAACUGCAUUUGAAACUGAUAUUCUAGAGUGCAGGAGAGGAAAGCGGAAUUCCUAGUGUAGCGGUGAAAUGCGUAGAUAUUAGGAAGAACACCAGUGGCGAAGGCGGCUUUCUGGACUGUAACUGACGCUGAGGCACGAAAGCGUGGGGAGCAAACAGGAUUAGAUACCCUGGUAGUCCACGCUGUAAACGAUGAGUGCUAGGUGUAGGGGGUAUCGACACCCUCUGUGCCGCAGUAAACGCAAUAAGCACUCCGCCUGGGGAGUACGGUCGCAAGACUAAAACUUAAAGGAAUUGGCGGGGGA
rnacentral:rRNA from 1 species